UAACCAGGGACCCCCUAGUAACGGCGAGUGAAGAGGGAAAAGCCCAGCACCGAAGCCUGUGGCAAUUUUGCUGCUAGGCAAUGUGGUGUUUAGGUCGGCUCGUGGGAUCGCCACUCCACUCGAAGUCCAGCAUUGAGUAUGGUUCCCAGGAAUUGGCCCAUAGAGGGUGAAAGGCCCGUACGAGUGGAUGUGUCAGAUAUGUAAGGCGAUUCACCAGGCCGGCCUUAGAGUCGGGUUGUUUGCGAAUGCAGCCCAAAGUGGGUGGUAAACUCCAUCCAAGGCUAAAUACUAGCACGAGUCCGAUAGCGAACAAGUACCGUGAGGGAAAGUUGAAAAGUACUUUGAAGAGAGAGUAAACAGUACGUGAAACCGCAUAGAGGUAAACGGGUGGCGUCAAGCUGCAAGCCCCAGAGAAUUCAGUCGGUCAGGGUGUUGUCAUGCGCCCAGCGCAUCNUAUCNAUUCCGGUGUUAGGAAUUUUGGGCUUAUUCCGCUUUGAANAAUUGGCGGGCCCCAGCUUAGCAUNNNNNNNNNNUAGGACUGCCUGCCGAUGCACUUUUUUCUGUUGUGAACACCACGACCGGUGUACUGCCAGUUUGCUGUAGCCCAAGCUUUCGUUGCAUAAUYUGGCCUUUUGGUUGGGGCGUGUGGCGAUCACAGACAAUUUCAGUGCACGGUGCUUGUGUGUUUUUCGCAUGCGGGCAUGUUAUCGGGAACUGGUUGUAAACGGGUCGGCCUGUUCGACUUGUUCUGUAGUUCGUGGUUGAUGGGUGACCCGGUGGGCUAUGGUGGUAUGAAUAACUGUGCAGGGCACCGGAGUUUUCGGUCCGACCAGCAGUAGUCGUUCGCGGCUGCUGUUGCCGGCUGCAUACGCACUGCAGUUUAGCGUGUGCACUGUCUUUGGCAGUAGUACGGGCGGCGCUGUUUACGGCCUGCCAGUCGUUGGGUCUGAUUGUCGUGUCGCCUGCCAAAAUGGUGGGUCCGGCGGUGGCCUGGCGUUGGAUGGUGCCUGUAGAACGGAGCUGUCGUUGUGCAGCCGGUGUUUGUGUGCGCGACAUUAUAGU
rnacentral:rRNA from 1 species